CUGCCACAGGUCCACAGCUGUGAUGGCGUCGGUACCUCCCGCCAAGACACACGGUUGGCUGCACUGGAGUGCCGUUAUAUUUUCAGCCUGUAUAGAGGUGACAGUGCCGUGAGAGAGGUGGUGGAGGUUAUUAAUGCACCAAGGAACAGGUGUGUAAGGAUGGCAGUGGUGUUGAUAAGGGAUUAGUGUGUAAGGAGGGAAAGAAGGGUGGUGGCCGAGUGCAUGUCAACAGUGGUGAUGGCCGUGUGGUGUUUGGUGUUGCUUAUACACCCCAUGAACACACUCAAACACAUCCACAACAUGUCCAUAUACACCCAAACACCCCGCAACACAUCCACAACAUGCCCAUAUACACCCAAACACCCACAAGGUGAAGUGAUGACAUUCCCGACAGCACCAGCGGCGAGACAAGAGAGCAAUGCAAAUCUUCACCUCAACGCUUCACCAUCAAUUUUAUUUCAGGCUCAGGCGUGUAGAUGGAAGCAGUAGAAGAAAGAAGAAAAUGAGGAGAACGAAGAAGAAUGGAAAAAUGGAAGUGGAAGAAGAGGAGCCAAGCCACAAUAUUUAGUCUUGUAUAAUUUCAUGGUAUGAUGGAUGCGGCUGAGGUGGGCCUCUGCUGUGACCAGGCAUUUCAGCCUUGCUGUCAACCCUCCAUGUGAUGAGUGAGUUGCCCGUUGAGCUGGAGUGUCCUGAUAUUGGGGGCUCGUCUGGUAUUGUAGACAACCAUCCGUCUAACCUUUUCGUGAAGAGGUCCGGUGUGACCCGUCAGGUUCCUGAUGGUGUCCAGCACAGCGUUGAAGAGGUCCACAGAAAAUGACGCGCCGAUUUAUUUGAAGUCAAGGAUGGAGAUUAGAAUGGCCUUGAAAAACACCACACCCGUUUUGUCCACCGCCAUCACCACCUUCUCCCAGAUCAAGGACAUAACAUAACAUAACAUAACAUAAAUAAUAGGAUAACAAAGGG